GUUAGUUAGGAUCUUUAAACCCAAAGAAUUUGGCGGUAUCUCAUUCCAUUCAGAGGAACCUACCCCGUGAUUGAUAGUACACGAUUUACUUUACUUAAUUUACUUGUUUGUAUAUCUCCGUUAUCAGGGAAUCUUUUUAGAGUUAUAAUUCUCAAGAUUUAUAAUUAUAAAAUAUUUCAGGUCAAGGUGCAGCUUAUAAUUAAGAGGAGGUGGGUUACAAUAGAUUUUUGUUUAUAACGGAUUUGAUAGUGAAAUACUGUUGAUGAAGGUGGAUUUGAUAGUAAUUUGAUUAAUUUAAUUUAAUUGAUAUUGGCUCUGAGGUGUGUACACAU
rnacentral:rRNA from 1 species